rnacentral:rRNA from 1 species
GGCGACGUGCUAUAGGAAUCGUUGGUGUUGGGGUCGAUCUAGAGGUGAUCCCUAUGGAUCCUACGGGAGGAGCAGUGGGGAAAAGCACAAUGGAGGAAACUCUGAUGCAGCAACGCCGCGUGGAGGAUGACGCAUUUCGGUGUGUAAACUCCUUUUAUAGGGGAAGAUAAUGACGGUACCCUAUGAAUAAGCACCGGCUAACUCCGUGCCAGCAGCCGCGGUAAUACGGAGGGUGCAAGCCAGUUACUCGGAAUCACUGGGCGUAAAGGAUGCGUAGGCUGGAAAUCAAGUCGAAAGUGAAAUCCAACGGCUCAACCGUUGAACUGCUUUCGAAACUGGUUACCUAGAAUAUGGGAGAGGUAGAUGGAAUUAGUGGUGUAGGGGUAAAAUCCGUAGAUAUCACUAGGAAUACCGAUUGCGAAGGCGAUCUACUGGAACAUUAUUGACGCUGAGGCAUGAAAGCGUGGGGAGCAAACAGGAUUAGAUACCCUGGUAGUCCACGCCCUAAACGAUGCACACUAGUUGUUGCGAUGCUAGUCAUUGCAGUAAUGCACUUAACAGAUUAAGUGUGCCGCCUGGGGAGUACGGUCGCAAGAUUAAAACUCAAAGGAAUAGACGGGGACCCGCACAAGCGGUGGAGCAUGUGGUUUAAUUCGAAGAUACACGAAGAACCUUACCUGGGCUUGAUAUCCUAAGAAUCCUGUAGAGAUACGGGAGUGCUAGUUUACUAGAACUUAGAGACAGGUGCUGCACGGCUGUCGUCAGCUCGUGUCGCGAGAUGUUGGGUUAAGUCCCGCAACGAGCGCAACCCUCGUGAUUAGUUGCUAACAGUUCGGCUGAGCACUCUAAUCAGACUGCCUUCGUAAGGAGGAGGAAGGUGAGGACGACGUCAAGUCAUCAUGGCCCUUAUGCCAGGCUACACACGUGCUACAAUGGCUAGGACAAGAGACGCGAUACUGCGAAGUGGAGCAAAUCUAAACCUAGUCUCAGUUCGGAUUGAGUCUGCACAUCGGAU